rnacentral:tRNA from 1 species
UAAUAUGAAGGCAAAUUUUUCCAUUUAAUUUCGACUUAAAAUUUUGAUUUAUUAAAUUAAAUCCAUAUUAA